AUAGCAUCAUAGUCUGAGACCCCGAAACUAGACGAGCUACUCCGAAGCAGUCUAAAAGGACUAACCCGUCUCUGUGGCAAAAGAGUGGGAAGACUUCCGAGUAGAGGUGAAAAGCCUACCGAGCCUAGUUAUAGCUGGUUGCUUAAGAAAAGAAUAUGAGUUCAGCCUUAUAAGUUUCUCAAAAAUCAAAAUGAAAGAAUAAAGUAACACAUAAGAGUUAGUCGAAGGGGGUACAGCUCCUUCGAAAAAGAACACAACCUUACCCAGGUAAAUAAGGAUUAUACUAAAAAAGGACAUGACUUUCAACAGUGGGCCCGAAAGCAGCCACCUCUAAUAGAAAGCGUUAAAGCUCAAGAACAGCCACACCAAAAAUAAAAAUAACCACUCCUAAUUUCCUAAUAAUAUUAAGCUACCCUAUUUUAUAGGAGAAAUUAUGCUAAAAUGAGUAAUAAGAGAAACUAGACCCUCUCCGGGCACACGUGUAAAUUAGAGCGGACAAACCACUGACAACUAACGGACCCAAAAAAGAGGGUAAAACAACAAAACUCAAUAAACAAGAAAAACCUAUUAAAACAACCGUUAACCCAACACAGGAGUGCCACUUAAGGAAAGACUAAAAGGGGAAGAAGGAACUCGGCAAACACAAACCUCGCCUGUUUACCAAAAACACCGCCUCCUGCAAAUAGAAUGUAUUGGAGGUCCUGCCUGCCCAGUGACAAUAGGUUCAACGGCCGCGGUAUUUUGACCGUGCAAAGGUAGCGUAAUCACCUGUCUUUUAAAUAAAGACCUGUAUGAAUGGCAAGACGAGGGUUUUACUGUCUCCUCCCCCCAGUCAAUGAAAUUGAUCUACCCGUGCAGAAGCGGGUAUAAAAACAUAAGACGAGAAGACCCUAUGGAGCUUUAGGCACACAUCAAAUAUGUAAAAAACCAAAUCUUCCAAAUAGGCCUAAAAAAUGAGAAAAACAAGUAUUAAUGAUUAAUUGCCUUCGGUUGGGGCGACCACGGGGAAAAAUAAAACCCCCACAUGGAAUGGGUAAAAUUAUCCUAAGCCAAGAAAAACAAUUCUAAGCAACAAAAUUUUUGACCAAUAAACGACCCAGGGACAACAUCCCUGAGCAAUGAACCAAGUUACCCUAGGGAUAACAGCGCAAUCCUUUCCCAGAGCCCAUAUCAACGAAAGGGUUUACGACCUCGAUGUUGGAUCAGGGCAUCCUAACGGUGCAGCCGCUGUUAAGGG
rnacentral:rRNA from 1 species